GGAAGACUGAGGAGGAGGCGAAGCAGCUUGCUGAGGAGAUGAACAUCGCCUUCUACACCAGCCGGACUGAUGACAUCUUGCUGCAUCAAGAUGUGGAUCUGGUGUGCAUCAGCAUCCCCCCUCCACUCACCCGGCAGAUAUCCGUGAAGGCUCUAGGAAGUACCUGUGGAGUGCCAGAGUGGAGCCUGGAUGGCUGUGGAGGAGAAGCCCAGGUGCACACAUUGCCCAGAUGGGCUUCAACUAGAAGGGUAUUGGGAAGAAUGUGGUUUGCGAGAAGGCAGCAACAUCGGUGGAUGCCUUCCGGAUGGUGACAGCCUCGCGCUACUACCCGCAGCUCAUGAGCCUGGUAGGGAACGUGCUGCGCUUCCUGCCUGCCUUCGUGCGCAUGAAACAGCUGAUUUC
rnacentral:lncRNA from 1 species